ensembl:lncRNA
AGAAGUGUUGGGGUUUUCUGCUCCCAGAACUUCAUUGUUAAAGAAAGGAGGAGGAAUUUGUCCUUCCCUCCACUUGGCAAGCAAUGCGCAUGUUCCUUUCUGUAAACAGCAGACUAAUUUGAGCAGUGAGCAGCCCCCACUGGCUUCUGGCUUUUACUAACUGUAGGCUGAGGGCUCAGUGCAACAAAAACUUGAGUUGCCCACAGAACAGCUACUCUGAUUCAGAUGAAAGCUGGGGAGGACUUCGGUCCUUCUUGGAAAAUACUUGUGCUUUUUUGUUGAUUGUUCUUGUUCCCAACAGAGACAGAAGUGAACUAAUCUCCCAAACUGGGAUGCUCAGAGAUGUCCAAAGUGAGAUAGGACUGGCAAGAAUACAAUACACAGAUUAAUAAGGAAGUCAUUAAGGGAUAGAAAAGCUCUGAUGUGAUGGAGUGGCUUUUAGUUUGAAGAAAAAUAGGAACAUUUACUUUUGGCUCAGGAAGAGACCACAAGAUGCACUGUUUGUUACUGAAGUGAUAGUACUUUUGCCCUGGGCACCUUACUUCAGAGGAAAGAUGCUUCCCAAAACAGUUUUCAGCCACUGAUCUUUCAGCUCCGUGAUUUGGAGUGGCAGAGUUGCACAUGAAGCAUGUAGGAUGAGGUGCCACGUGGCAACAGCUUUCUCUUCUGGCUGUGCUGAGGAGCUCUCAGCACACUGUACUCCCACCUGCCAUUGCAGCAGCUCAUGUGUGGAGGCACCUCUGGAGAACACCAGGUCCAAACCCCAGCCCAAAGCAGCGCCUCCUGGAACUACACAGGGCCAUGGCUGAGUGAGAUCACAAUGGUGGCUGAGAAAUCUUUGUUGCUCCCUUUUCUCCCAUCAGCAACACUCAUAUCCAGGCUGAAUAAAUCCUUCAACAGCAUUCUUUGCUUGUGGCCGUUUGAUGUGCUUCCAAGCAGCUACAAACAUGGGAGACACCCAAACUGCUUAGUGCCAGAAAGGCUGAAACUGCACUGCCAUGGGAGCCUGAACGGCAGAGGGGCCACCUGGCAGUGCCCUGCAGGACCCAAGGUGCUCACCCACCCACUACGCAAGAAGCUCCUCAUGUCCUUCCGCUCUGCGGUGGGCAGCACCUGGAGUGCCUUUCCUAGCUCUGAUUCUAUUCUUCUGCUCCAAAGCAACAAGCCAAACUCCCCACCAGCAUUCAACCUCCGUGCCAAAAAGAAAAUAACAAGAGUAAAAGCACUGCACAACAGAAACACAUAGGACAGUGAAGAGGCUGGGAUUGCUGGGGAGUCCAGCAUAGUCGCGUCGGGGUGCUCAGGUCGGUGCUGCUGCAGCAUUCAUCCAGGCCAAUGGGGAAGGUAGGUGGUUGGUGGCUGUGAGCACCUCCCCUGGAUGGAAAAUGACACCUCUGCACAGCUCUGGACAUUUCUGAAUGCCACAGGAGGUUGGGGAGACCAGCCCAGCUGGAAAGAGGGUAGACAUGCUCCAGCAUCAAUGCCAUCAGCUCUGACAAGGUCCUGGCUGGCUGCAGCACGCUGAUGUCCUCAUAAACCAAGGCUCUCUCUCUGAUGGCUGUGCAAACGAGAAGCUGGGCUUAACUGGAGCACAGUGCUGUUGCUGGCUUUAACUCUCCAAUGAACUCUCCAAUUCCCAUUUUCCCAGGGCAGUUCAGCGCCAGGGUAAAUCAGUGCAUGUGUGCAGCCCUGCUGCCAGCUGGCUGCUCCUGCCUGCAGCGGUGUCUGGUCACAGCUCUGGGGAUGUGCCCUGCAAGUCCCCCCUUGGCAGCACCUCCUGCCUGCCACGCUCACUUCCUUCAGCCUUUGCCUUUCUCCCUGCUCUGGUCCUCUGACUUCAGAACAUGGCUUUCUGUUUUAGUUCACUUCUGUAUUUAUACUGGGCCAAACUGACUGGAUACUUUCUGAACAGGGUGACCUAGGAGUUUUGAACAGACCAUCUUGUCAAAAGUUCUGUUAUUUCCCUUACCAAUGUGGUUUGAUUUGUUUUAUUUUCUUUUUUCUUGGUAAAACUGUCAAUAGGAACCACUUUUUGAAAGUCAGAAGAUGCAAAGCAGACCUUCCACAAGGAUUCCCCAAGGAGCAGAGAAUUUGAGGAUCACUGCGAAGGGCAUCAUUGCUCCUUGCUGUUCAUCCCAAACUGUCUUCAUUCUCUCACCCUGUGUAUUCCUGCACAACGGGACUGAGGGAAGUGCAUGAGAUCUAUUGCUGAACUGUGGUGUGGAUAGACUUUGUCUUCCUCAGCUAGCAUUCUGUCACCUUUCAAGAGUGAAAAAUUCAUUUUUAAAACAAAAAUCCCAAGUAAGAAACCUCACAUAGUUGCAGGAAACCACCACAGAGGUAUACAAUAUCCAGCGGAAGACCUUGCUGAAAACUGAACAGAUUACUCUUGUUAUAUGUGGUUAAACUGGGCCAUUAAUGCUAAAACAGUUCAAAGCACAAAAUAAAUUCUGAUUUUCUCCUGUCAAAGUUGGUGGUUUGGUGUUCACACAUUCUAGGCUCCGGUUAAAUGAUUUACUGUACAAUUUAAUGCCUUUCAGCUGUCACUCGCAAAAAGGAUCCCUUGAAUGAUCUGCCAGUGAAUGAAGGCAGCACUUGCCCAGGGUGAAGUGUGGCCAGGGCUGCAGGACCCAACUUGCCAAGAUACUCAGGAACAAUCACGUAAGCCACUGUGACCCAUGUGUGGUACCCAGCGAAGUGAAGGCCACCUUGCUGUGAUCACAUCUGCAAAACCACUUCAUUUAAAGCAUACUGAGACGUUCACUCUGCUGUGGAACUUUUACGAGCAACUGCCUUUACAACAGCUCGCACCAUAGGCACGCUGCUAUUCUUUGUCCUUCUUUUGAACUCUUCUCUGCUCCCGGUCUUCCAGCGGUGUGAUUUUUUGAAGUUUUCCUUCACAAUAGCUUCUCAAAAUCCCAGUUCUCACAUAUCAACACAAAUAGGAGAAACAGUUGCCAUGGGACAGUGAAAAACAUAUUUCAGGAGCUCAGGAGCAAAGAAGGAAAUAAAAAAGGCACUGGAUUUCAGCAGUUACGUGUUGUAGUGUUUGACGUAGCUCUGAGUUCUUUGCUUUGUCUCUAGCUGCAGUGGUACUGUGCCUCUCAUGUUCAGCAGUGGGUGCACUCAGCAGUGGGUGCAGCUCUUAGCAGUGACCUCAUGGGGACACAGCAGUGCCCAGCACUGCAGCCAUGUUCUGUGGAACAGAGAGAAUACUGGUGUCACCUAAAACU